UUUAGAGUUCAGUUCUCCUGAUACGUGGAUUUCAAAUCCGUGCUAGCUGAACUGCUACGUUGCUGCUGUUGUAUUGCAGAGCUCGAGGGUGCAGAGUAGGAGCGAUGUUAUGAAAACCAAUGAUGGCUGCUCUAGACCUCCAUCUCCAGACCUCAAUGGAGUGCGGCGUCCUGUGCUCUCUAGUGAUGCGCCUGAUUACCAGCGCCUCCAUGUGCGUCGUGUGGGGGUCAAGAGUCCACACCACCGUGAACUGUGAAGAGCUGGAGUCGCCCCGAGUGCGUAUGCGAACUCUCCCCGAGGAUCCUCCCACUCCUCCUCACCAUGUGCUUUGAAGGGCAGAGAGUCUGGCUUCGUGCGUUGCCUCUGAAUUGCUGCACAGUGAGCUGCACCAG